rnacentral:rRNA from 1 species
UACGUAGGGUGCAAGCGUUGUCCGGAAUUAUUGGGCGUAAAGAGCUCGUAGGCGGUUUGUCGCGUCGAAUGUGAAAACCCGGGGCUCAACCCCGGGCCUGCAUUCGAUACGGGCAGACUAGAGUUCGGUAGGGGAGUCUGGAAUUCCUGGUGUAGCGGUGAAAUGCGUAGAUAUCUGGAGGAACACCGAUGGCGAAGGCAGCCUCCUGGGCUAGUACUGACGCUCAUGCACGAAAGCGUGGGGAGCAAACAGG